rnacentral:lncRNA from 1 species
CCCUUUUAAUUGUUUUGCCUUCCAAAACACAGCAAACUUUUUAGCCCAAAAAAAAUAUGCUAUCAGCCCCUUUUUCUUAGGUUUCGCAUAACACAUUGCUACCGCCAUCAAGCCCUCAAGCAAUGAAGUCGAUUUAGCCUCGAACUUCUUUCUCUAACUCCGAUUUCAACGAAGCAAAGAAAGAUUCAUGGCAACUUUACAAAGUAAGAUUCCUUCUUUCACUCUUCUUUAUAUUUUGAAAUAUAAUGCUAAAAUAUUGAAAAAGAAAAUGCAAUGAUUCUAAAAAAAGAAAUUUAAAGCGAGUAAAAAAACUGGAAAUCACCUUUCUAUUCUUGCUUUCGAAAUAUUCAAUGUGCUAAUGUAAGUGUAUAUUCUGUGGAUGGGUCUGUGUAAUCCUUUUGCAGGUACAGAAUGAGGCUUUUAUAGCCUGGAUUUACAGAGAAAAUAGUAAAAAGAAAAAAAUAUUUUUCUUGCUGUCAUCUGCCCAUUUCUGUUAUUCCUUUCUUUCUAGUGUAUUCUCUUUGCAGGAACGGUUGUACGGAGGAGCGACCCUGGUGACGUGGAGACCAAUUGUCAAAAAUUUUUUUACACGAGACUGACCUUUCGGUGACCUUCUGGUUUACUCCAGAAGCUUCCAGCAUCCUCAAGAUACUGAUGCAAUUUUUCUUGCAUAUUGGGCCUCGAUUUUGGGCCGAAUUUAAGAUGUGAAUUGAUUUCAUUGGGCUUUAGAAUUUGGGCCAAAUAUUAUGUAAUUAGGGCUAAAGAACUUUGGGGUAUUUGGUUAAGAAAUGGGCUUAUUGUAAUUGGGUUUUAAUUUUUAUGUAAAGGGUUUUGGGGUAUUUAUUUAAUUGGGUUGGAUAUUUAUAAAUGGACUCUUUGGACUUAUUUAUUUUUGGAUUUUUAUUUUGGGUCUAUCUAUAUACAAAUGAGCCAGGACAAAAAUGGGCCAUUACAUUAUAUAUGUUGUUUUAUUAUGCUUAAAUAUAAUUUAUGAUUUUUUG